rnacentral:rRNA from 1 species
AUUUGGAAACGAAUGCUAAUACCUAAUAUUAUGAUAAUAGGGCAUCCUAUAAUUAUGAAAGCUAUAAGCGCUGUGAGAGAGCUUUGCGUCCCAUUAGCUAGUUGGAGAGGUAACGGCUCACCAAGGCGAUGAUGGGUAGCCGGCCUGAGAGGGUGAUCGGCCACAAGGGGACUGAGACACGGCCCUUACUCCUACGGGAGGCAGCAGUGGGGAAUAUUGGACAAUGGACCAAGAGUCUGAUCCAGCAAUUCUGUGUGCACGAUGAAGUUUUUCGGAAUGUAAAGUGCUUUCAGUUGGGAAGAAAAAAAUGACGGUACCAACAGAAGAAGUGACGGCUAAAUACGUGCCAGCAGCCGCGGUAAUACGUAUGUCACGAGCGUUAUCCGGAUUUAUUGGGCGUAAAGCGCGUCUAGGUGGUUAUGUAAGUCUGAUGUGAAAAUGCAGGGCUCAACUCUGUAUUGCGUUGGAAACUGUAUAACUAGAGUACUGGAGAGGUAAGCGGAACUACAAGUGUAGAGGUGAAAUUCGUAGAUAUUUGUAGGAAUGCCGAUGGGGAAGCCAGCUUACUGGACAGAUACUGACGCUGAAGCGCGAAAGCGUGGGUAGCAAACAGGAUUAGAUACCCUGGUAGUCCACGCCGUAAACGAUGAUUACUAGGUGUUGGGGGUCGAACCUCAGCGCCCAAGCAAACGCGAUAAGUAAUCCGCCUGGGGAGUACGUACGCAAGUAUGAAACUCAAAGGAAUUGACGGGGACCCGCACAAGCGGUGGAGCAUGUGGUUUAAUUCGACG